AACGAACGCUGGCGGCAUGCCUAACACAUGCAAGUCGAACGAGACCUUCGGGUCUAGUGGCGCACGGGUGCGUAACGCGUGGGAACCUGCCCUUAGGUUCGGAAUAACUCCCCGAAAGGGGUGCUAAUACCGGAUAAUGUCUUCGGACCAAAGAUUUAUCGCCUUUGGAUGGGCCCGCGUUGGAUUAGCUAGUUGGUAGGGUAAAAGCCUACCAAGGCGACGAUCCAUAGCUGGUCUGGGAGGAUGAUCAGCCACACUGGGGCUGAGACACGGCCCAGACUCCUACGGGAGGCAGCAGUGGGGAAUAUUGGACAAUGGGCGAAAGCCUGAUCCAGCAAUGCCGGGUGAGUGAUGAAGGCCUUAGGGUUGUAAAGCUCUUUUACCCGGGAUGAUAAUCACAGUACCGGGAGAAUAAGCUCCGGCUAACUCCGUG
rnacentral:rRNA from 1 species